rnacentral:rRNA from 1 species
CCCUGGAGUGGGGAAUAACUGAGAGAAAUCUUAGCUAAUACCGCAUAACACCUACGGGUCAAAGGAGCAAUUCGCUUCAGGAGGGGGUCGCGGCCGAUUAGUUAGUUGGCGGGGUAAUGGCCCACCAAGACAGUGAUCGGUAUCCGGCCUGAGAGGGCGCACGGACACACUGGAACUGAAACACGGUCCAGACUCCUACGGGAGGCAGCAGUGGGGAAUUUUGCGCAAUGGGGGAAACCCUGACGCAGCAACGCCGCGUGGAGGAUGAAAUCCCUUGGGAUGUAAACUCCUUUCGAUCGGGACGAUUAUGACGGUACCGGAAGAAGAAGCCCCGGCUAACUUCGUGCCAGCAGCCGCGGUAAUACGAGGGGGGCAAGCGUUGUUCGGAAUUAUUGGGCGUAAAGGGAGCGUAGGCGGUUUUGUAAGUCGUGUGUGAAAUCUUCGGGCUCAACUCGAAGUCUGCACAAGAAACUGCAGGGCUUGAGUAUGGGAGAGGUGAGUGGAAUUUCCUGGUGUAGCGGUGAAAUGCGUAGAUAUCAGAGAGGAACACCUGUGGCGAAAGCGGCUCACUGACCAUUACUGA